CCCUUAGAUGUUCUGGGCCGCACGCGCGCUACACUGAUGCAGGCAACAAGUGCUUUCGACCUUGGCCGAGAGGCCUGGGGAAUCUUGUGAAACUGCAUCGUGCUGGGGCUUGACGAUUGUAAUUAUUUGUCACAAACGAGGAAUUCCUAGUAAACGCAAGUCAUCAGCUUGCAUUGAUUACGUCCCUGCCCUUUGUACACACCGCCCGUCGCUCCUACCGAUUGAAUGUUCCGAUGAACCCUCCGGAGCCGUGGUCUCACUCUUGGGUUUGACCAAUGGUGAAGUUGUGUAAAUCUUAACAUUUAGAGGAAGGAGAAGUCGUAACA
rnacentral:rRNA from 1 species